rnacentral:rRNA from 1 species
UAGGGAAUAUUGGGCAAUGGGCGGAAGCCUGACCCAGCCAUGCCGCGUGCAGGACGAAGGCCUUCUGGGUUGUAAACUGCUUUUAUCGGGGAAGAAAACACCCAUGCGUGGGGAACUGACGGUACCCGAGGAAUAAGCACCGGCUAACUCCGUGCCAGCAGCCGCGGUAAUACGGAGGGUGCAAGCGUUGUCCGGAUUUAUUGGGUUUAAAGGGUGCGUAGGCGGCCCAUUAAGUCAGCGGUGAAAGCCCGGGGCUCAACCCCGGAACCGCCGUUGAUACUGGUGGGCUUGAGUAUGGACGAGGUUGGCGGAAUUGAGGGUGUAGCGGUGAAAUGCUUAGAUACCCUCAAGAACACCGAUUGCGUAGGCAGCUAACUAGGCCAUAACUGACGCUGAGGCACGAAAGCGUGGGGAGCGAACAGG